rnacentral:rRNA from 1 species
GACGAACGCUGGCGGCGUGCUUAACACAUGCAAGUCGAACGGAAAGGCCCUGCUUUUGUGGGGUGCUCGAGUGGCGAACGGGUGAGUAACACGUGAGUAACCUGCCCUUGACUUUGGGAUAACUUCAGGAAACUGGGGCUAAUACCGGAUAGGAGCUCCUGCUGCAGGGUGGGGGUUGGAAAGUUUCGGCGGUUGGGGAUGGACUCGCGGCUUAUCAGCUUGUUGGUGGGGUAGUGGCUUACCAAGGCUUUGACGGGUAGCCGGCCUGGGAGGGUGACCGGCCACAUUGGGACUGAGAUACGGCCCAGACUCCUACGGGAGGCAGCAGUGGGGAAUAUUGCACAAUGGGCGGACGCCUGAUGAAGCAACGCCGCGUGCGGGAUGACGGCCUUCGGGUUGUAAACCGCUUUCGCCUGUGACGAAGCGUGAGUGACGGUAAUGGGUAAAGAAGCACCGGCUAACUACGUG